rnacentral:rRNA from 1 species
UGCCCGCAAGGAAAUGUAGUGAGAGGUGCUGCAUGGCUGUCGUCAGCUCGUGUUGUGAAAUGUUGGGUUAAGUCUCGCAACGAGCGCAACCCCUAUCGUCUGUUGCCAGCAUUAAGUUGGGCACUCUGACGAGACUGCCUGGGUUAACCAGGAGGAAGGUGGGGAUGACGUCAAGUCCUCAUGGCCCUUAUGUCUAGGGCUACACACGUAAUACAAUGGCGCGUACAAAGGGAAGCGAACUAGCAAUAGGGAGCAAAUCUCAAAAAGCGCGCCUCAGUUCGGAUUGAAGUCUGCAACUCGACUUCAUGAAGUUGGAAUCGCUAGUAAUCGGAGAUCAGCACGCUCC